AAAAGUCGUAACAAGGUUUCCGUAGGUGAACCUGCGGAAGGAUCAUCAACAAAAUGGAUCGAAGCCGUUUGGUCGUCCCCUUUUCGGAUGCCGCGGCCCCGGGCCUCUUUUGGUCUGAACUCUUCUUGAGCAGAGCUCUGACACGCAUUUUGUGCGAUGGUGUCCCACCUUUGGUGGUGACCACCAGCCAUUGAAAAACACAACUUUUGACAACGGAUCUCUUGGCUCUC
rnacentral:misc_RNA from 1 species